rnacentral:rRNA from 1 species
AGUGAACGCUGGCGGCGUGCUUAACACAUGCAAGUCGAACGAGAACGGGAUAUAGCUUGCUAUAUUUGUCAGCUAAGUGGCGCACGGGUGAGUAAUGUAUAGAUAACCUGCCCUCUAGAAAGGAAUAACAGUUGGAAACGACUGCUAAUGCCCUAUAUGCCUUUAAUACAUAAGUAUGCAAGGGAAACGCUUUAGUGCUAGAGGAUGGGUCUGUAUGGUAUCAGCUUGUUGGUGAGGUAAUGGCUCACCAAGGCUAUGACGCCUAACUGGUUUGAGAGGAUGAUCGGUCACACUGGAACUGAGACACGGUCCAGACUCCGACGGGAGGCAGCAGUGGGGAAUAUUGCACAAUGGACGAAAGUCUGAUGCAGCAACGCCGCGUGGAGGAUGACACAUUUCGGUGCGUAAACUCCUUUUAUAUAGGAAGAUAAUGACGGUACUAUAUGAAUAAGCACCGGCUAACUCCGUGCCAGCAGCAGCCGCGG